rnacentral:rRNA from 1 species
GACGAACGCUGGCGGCGUGCCUAAUACAUGCAAGUAGAACGCUGAAGGAGGAGCUUGCUCUUCUGGAUGAGUUGCGAACGGGUGAGUAACGCGUAGGUAACCUGCCUGGUAGCGGGGGAUAACUAUUGGAAACGAUAGCUAAUACCGCAUAAGAGUAGAUGUUGCAUGACAUUUACUUAAAAGGUGCAAUUGCAUCACUACCAGAUGGACCUGCGUUGUAUUAGCUAGUUGGUGGGGUAACGGCUUACCAAGGCGACGAUACAUAGCCGACCUGAGAGGGUGAUCGGCCACACUGGGACUGAGACACGGCCCAGACGCCUACGGGAGGCAGCAGUAGGGAAUCGUCGGCAAUGGACGGAAGUCUGACCGAGCAACGCCGCGUGAGUGAAGAAGGUUUUCGGAUCGUAAAGCUCUGUUGUAAGAGAAGAACGAGUGUGAGAGUGGAAAGUUCACACUGUGACGGUAUCUUACCAGAAAGGGACGGCUAACUACGUG